CGGAGUAAUUAAGAGGGUCACACUGAUCACAAGCUGAUAUUUAUUAAAAAAAAAUUGUGCUAUUUAAAAGUCAGCCGCAAGUUUUCCGUGGAAAACCCGAACUACACAGCAGUAUUGUACAGGCACAUUGUCAAGCACCAUCACAAUGGAGAACAACGAAGCCCCCUCCCCCUCUGGAUCCAACAACAACGAUUUUCCCAUACUUCCGCCACCGCCGAACCAUCAAAACAACCAAUUCGGUGACCACCACUCCAGCAACAACAAUGCGGCCCAGAAGCGACUGCAGCAGACCCAAGCCAAGGUGGACGAGGUGGUCGGCAUUAUGCGGGUGAACGUGGAGAAGGUUCUGGAGCGGGACCAGAAGCUUUCGGAGCUGGGCGAGCGGGCGGACCAGCUGGAGCAGGGAGCCUCGCAGUUCGAACAGCAGGCCGGCAAGCUGAAGCGCAAGCAGUGGUGGGCCAACAUGAAGAUGAUGAUCAUCCUGGGCGUCAUCGCCGUCGUGCUGCUCAUCAUUGUCCUGGUGUCGCUUUUCAAUUGAUACAAUUAAUUACACACAAAGAAAAACAAAAGCAAAACCGACAAAAAAUCAAAAUGCAAUUCCGUUUCCCAUACAGCAAAGUUAAGGUUCAGACUAAUCGUUAAACACGUUUAUGUACGUGUAUCGGGCUCCUACUAUAUACACUUAAAAUUGUAUAUUAUUUUAAAUAAACAUCUUAAGCUAAGCAACUCUAAAACUCUAAAGUGUCCGUUUGGCCAUCUAGCAGUGACAGUAGCAGUGGUGGAGGAACUAAGGCCAUCACCCAGGCACCGCCGCACUAAACGCCUCCAAUGGAGUGAGGCAACUACACGGAUACGGAAAGGAAAAGGACCAAACAACCACAUCUAGGACGGGAACCUCAAUUUCUGGUCUUUUCGCGCAAUCAGAGAGUGAAAGAGGAAUAGAAAAAUCAAAAGGAAAACUUACUAAAAUUGCGUCUAGCAUAUAUUUAACCAGAAUGUAAUUAUUAAAACUUAAUGUUAAACGAAACAUUUUUACGUAUUGUAGCCGAGACCAGAGGUCCACAUGAAUGUGUAUUGCAUAUGUACAAUUAUAUAUACAUGUAUGUCAUCCAAUCGAAAUACAUCAUGCCACCUACACUUUAACCAGUCCAAGGAA